rnacentral:rRNA from 1 species
AUUGAACGCUGGCGGCAGGCCUAACACAUGCAAGUCGAACGAGUGGCGGACGGGUGAGUAAUGUCUGGGAAACUGCCCGAUGGAGGGGGAUAACUACUGGAAACGGUAGCUAAUACAGCAUACCAUCAGAUGUGCCCAGAUGGGAGUAGCUUUUUGGGGGGGGAACGGCUCACCAAGGCGACGAUCCCUAGCUGGUCUGAGAGGAUGACCAGCAACACUGGAACUGAGACCCGGUCCAGCCUCCUACGGGAGGCAGCAGUGGGGAAUUUUGCACAAUGGGCGCAAUCCUGAUGCAGCCAUGCCGCGUGUAUGAAGAAGGCCUUCGGGUUGUAAAGUACUUUCAGCGGUGAGGCGUUAUCCGCAGAAGAAGCACCGGCUAACUCCGUGCCAGCAGCCGCGGUAAUAC